rnacentral:rRNA from 1 species
AUUGAACGCUGGCGGCAGGCUUAACACAUGCACGUCGAGCGGGGUGAUGGUGCUUGCACUAUCACUUAGCGGCGGACGGGUGAGUAAUGCUUAGGAAUCUGCCUAUUAGUGGGGGACAACAUCUCGAAAGGGAUGCUAAUACCGCAUACGUCCUACGGGAGAAAGCAGGGGAUCACUUGUGACCUUGCGCUAAUAGAUGAGCCUAAGUCGGAUUGGCUAGUUGGUGGGGUAAAGGCCUACCAAGGCGACGAUCUGUAGCGGGUCUGAGAGUAGGAUCCGCCACACUGGGACUGAGACACGGCCCAGUCUCCUACGGGAGGCAGCAGUGGGGAAUAUUUGACAAUGGGGGGAACCCUGAUCCAGCCAUGCCGCGUGCGUGAAGAAGGCCUUAUGGUUGUAAAGCACUUUAAGCGAGGAGGAGGCUCUUUUGGUUAAUACCCAAGAUGAGUGGACGUUACUCGCAGAAUAAGCACCGGCUAACUCUGUGCCAGCCGCCGCCGUAA